UGGGGAAUUUUGGACAAUGGGCGAAAGCCUGAUCCAGCAAUGCCGCGUGUGUGAAGAAGGCCUUCGGGUUGUAAAGCACUUUUGUCCGGAAAGAAAUCCUUGGCUCUAAUACAGUCGGGGGAUGACGGUACCGGAAGAAUAAGCACCGGCUAACUACGUGCCAGCAGCCGCGGUAAUACGUAGGGUGCAAGCGUUAAUCGGAAUUACUGGGCGUAAAGCGUGCGCAGGCGGUUUGCUAAGACCGAUGUGAAAUCCCGGGCUCAACCUGGGAACUGCAUUGGUGACUGGCAGGCUAGAGUAUGGCAGAGGGGGGUAGAAUUCCACGCGUAGCAGUGAAAUGCGUAGAGAUGUGGAGGAAUACCGAUGGCGAAGGCAGCCCCCUGGGCCAAUACUGACGCUCAUGCACGAAAGCGUGGGGAGCAAACAGGAUUAGAUACCCUGGUAGUCCACGCCCUAAACGAUGUCAACUAGUUGUUGGGGAUUCAUUUCCUUAGUAACGUAGCUAGCGCGUGAAGUUGACCGCCUGGGGAGUACGGUCGCAAGAUUAAAACUCAAAUGAAUUGACGGGGUCAUAGCUGUUUCCU
rnacentral:rRNA from 1 species